AAAAGAAAAAAGGAGUUGUAUGAGUUAUGGCACAUGGAAAAGCCAAGUCAUGGUUGGGUGUGAUGCUAAAUAUCGAGAGCUAGCCCAAGGUUAGAGCAUCAACUCUCCAACAAUAAUGUUGGCCUCUAUGAAAGAAAUUUUAUUCUAACAAUGCCUAAACCUUUUAGUAGAACAAUUCCUGGAUCGCUACUAAAUGACAAAGUGGAAUCAAAACAAGUGGCCCGCUUCAAAAACGCCAGUAUAGCUCCACAUGGACCACAACAAUACUAAACAUCCAGGCAAAUACAUUUUCAAGAAAUGUCAACAGGAACACUGAUACUGCACAUGAUUCUCUAUAAUUUUAUAUUUUCUGUUAAUAAUAGAAUCACACAAUGAAUUAUACAGACGGCGUAUCCCAAUUAGCAUUGUCAAAAUAAACCUGCAGGAAUAGGAAAGAGACGCUUCAGUUUUACAGAUGCAAUGCUCUAUCUAAAAGGUUUUCAGGGUGUAAUUUAGUAAACUAAUUGAGAAUGCGUAUACAACGCCAACUUCUUAAAAUCCCGGAAGCUUUUAAAUUAGAUGCCUCAACAAAGAUUCAUCAUCACAUUUAAAAAUGUAUUCAAUGGCCACAAUUCCCAUUCUGAGAAUUUACAAGACAAUAAUGGCACAUCAGCAUCAUUUGUUAGCCAAAUGGGGAGAGAACCACCCCAUGUUUUGCCUGUCAUUUUAUGAGAAAAUACCACAAGAAACUAAGAAGCUCAACUGAGACUAGAAAUCAUUUGGGAGCAAGUCCAUGAAAUUAUCAAUCGUCUUUCUGAUGCAAAACACUAGGCAGGCUAUUAUUACCAUUGAGAGCAGCAUGAUAUACUCGCUUCUCAGCUAGUCCAAUAUCUGACAUAACUAAAUCACCCUGCAGCCAAGACAAAAAGCAAAAGACAAACUAAUGUUUUGAUAUAAAUGCCAAUGUCUAGAUAAAUUAUCAAAUCCAAAUUAAGGUAUAGAAUCAGCAUGAUGACACCCCCAAGAAAUUUCAGAUGUUCUUCUGGUUGCCAUGCUUAAAUGAUACAGCAAAAUUAUAUUGACAAAUAUCUUACAAGAUCACCAUCUUAAAGAGACAAGUUAGAACUGUAUAUAACUUUGUCAUGGUUGACAAUAAUCUCGUGGAGUGAGUUAACUUAUCAUUACCAUUUGGCCAGGACUUCUUGUAGAUAUAGGUGCAAAAGGUCCAAAUAACAGAACUUGGAAUUGCAUCACAGCCGCUAUUGCUAUACAAUAAAACUUUGACUUAAAUUUCUACCAUGCAUCCCAUCACAUGUAUUUUAAUGACCAUCCUUAGAUGAAACCAUACCUUUGCGCCUUGAGAGCAAAAGGCAUAGAUUAUUCCCUCAAAAGAAGGGACUUAACCAUCAGUAAUGAUGCCAAGCCACAGGUUUCCAUUCAAAGUUCUUAAAGGUAUGGCUGUGAUUUAUUGGUCUCACUGUUGAGUCCUCAUGGUGCAAGGCCUUCUGAGUUCUGUAAAUAUCUAAAAUUUAACAUUGUUGAUCAAGCUUGCAGGAUGGUUUCUAGCAGAAUGUUUAACAUCGAUGUUCUAAGUAGUUGUGUUUCCUAUCAUAGCUCACAACUAACCCUCCUGACCUUAAAUGGGAAGUAUAGGCUCUACAUUUAUAUAAAUUCAUUUCAGAAAUCCUACUAUCUGACAUUAAUCAGAAAAGCAAACCUCACGAGCCAUCAACCAUCGGACAUUAUAAGCAUAUAGCUUUGGGUUGUCCUUCUCUUCCUGUGAUGGAUAGUAAACAGGUAACCUUUUGACUUCUAUGUAAUUUAUGAAUUGACAGAGGAGAAAAAUCACAUGGCGCACCUGCAAAGGGAAAUAUGUAUAGAAAGUAAGAUCAAAAUUGAAAGGGUGUCAUGGACAAUGCAUCAUCUUCUCCCUGCAUUAUUGUUAUAGACAAAGAGUUAAAAAGUAAAGUUGCUGAAUGUGAUUUCCCAUCACCAUCAGCAGUUUAGCACCAUUUUUUUAAUCAUAAUACAUGAAAAAAAUAGAGAUCAACAAGAUCGAAAGAAAAAAGAUUCUGUGAAAAAUCCAAUCCUUGUUCAUAUUUUAAUACAUGCCCCCAAUGUGAUAGAACACAAGCUUCUUAAUUUACUUCCUUGUAACAGUGUGGUUUAAUUUGGACUUCAAUUCAAUUGUUUGAAUUGUUAAUCAUGUUUUUGCAGCAUCUUUGAGACAAAAUGUGAUUUCUCUCCAAUUAAAUGAAGUUAUACUCAUUUUAAAUGAGUUCAUAUAUCACUUCUGAAGCCAAGGUUCUUGCUACCAGUAUCUAGAGUUCCUAGACAAGUACAAUGAGUAAAUUAGGCAUUAAAAUUUCAUUUAUGUAAUUUCCAAGAACAAAAACUACUACACAAUAACAGAAAGAUAAAACUUUAUUUUUUGAGCAUGUAGACCUUGAUGCUGCACAACAAUGAAUAAAGAAGCUAAUUAGAUCGGUGAAUUAACGAGAUUUUAUCAACUAAACUUGUUGAAAGCCAUGCAUACUUUGCUAGCAUAAGAAAACUCACCCCAGAAAUUGAAUCCCAGGCAGGACUGAAUCUCUGGUAAGGAUAUCUCAGAAUCACUGGAAGCACAGGAACACCAGCUAAGAAUGCACCUGUCUUGAAUGGAAGAAGGAAGUCUCCAUUUGUGGUGGUGCCUUCAGGAAACAGCAUCAUCGUAGGAGCAGACCUAUUCUGAUAAGCUUCUCUAACUCUUUCAGUCACGACACCUAUAAGAAGUGGAGGGCAUUGAAAUCUAGUCAAAAGCCAUAUGCUCAUUAUAAUAAGAUAUUACUUCAGCCAAAAGGGAGUAUAUAUAUGUGCUAUUACUCUAAACUACAAAGUUUAAAAAAAAAAAUUCAUUAACAUAUGACUUCGAGGUUUGGAAUGCAUGUAUCCCAUGAUUAUGUCAGUUACCAUAAAAUAUGAAAUCCUGUAUUAGUCCUCCUCUUUUCCUAAUGCAGACCUAAUGUAAAUAAAUUUUUUUCUUGAAAUAAAAACUUAUUAUCUAGCAAUGCCCAAGAACACCUGAGCUGGGUCAGAGUAGCAGCUGGUAAACUAUUCUACUCAGCUUCACCCACAUCAAAGCACUUGAUAUCUAUUAGGUGCACUUAACAUGCUCUGAAAAUUGUCCAACUACAAAAUCAAACAGUAGGGGUAAAAUAUAAUAGAAAUAUAGGUCACCACUUUCUCACGCAUUAAAAAAAAUGGCAUUAACAAUCUAUCUACCUGCAACUCCUUUGAAGUCAGAUGACUUCAACUCUCUUUGAACAUAGACACAACCAAGGCACUUGCUGCCAAAAACAAGCCAGCAAAUGAAUUGAAUAGCAAAAGAAAAUACUUUAAAUAAACUUCCAAUGAAAAGAGGAGGGGAGGAGGGUUGAAGCCAGCAGAAUUAUAUUAUUUUAUUGCAGUUCUAUCUGCAAGACAAUUAGAGAACGUUCAUAGACAGUGAAAUAACCUGAUGAGACCAACAAGAGGAAGUUUAGCCACUGAUCUCUUCAGCAAUAAAACCCAGGAUCAAAACAAAAUUAAAAGAGAGAUGCGUCAGUCGUGCCAGAAAAGCCUACAAAUGUAAUUACCACUUGAACUCCAAUACUAGAUAAAUUCUAGAUGCUGACAAACCUUGGCAACAAAACUUGGAAAAGAAGAAGACAUGUGAUACAAAAUAUCUAAAUACGAAAUAUGAUUAGAAAUUAUUGCCCCAGGUCUUUCGGGUUCUGCAGAUUGAUCUCUGCCCUCAUUCUGUACAAAAAGUAAGAAGCAGAAAAUGGAAGAGGGAAAAGAAUUAGUUCACUCCCAACUACAGAGAACUCUGAAAGUCAGAACCCAAAUUAAGGAGUUACCUAUUCGCACAAUUUAAUAUACAAAGAUAUCAAAGACAACAGAAAAAAUGUUUUUCAUUACGUUUUUUUAAUUAUAAUAAUUUAACAUAACAGUCAGAUAAAUAUCAAGCUUAUUAAAUCUCAUACUGAAGCUUGAAAUCAUCAGGAGAAGAACCAUAAACAUGAAAAAAUUUUCCUCGCGCAUACAUUAAAUUCCAUUUAGUGCACCCAAUACUUUUGGGUAUUGGCUUCUAAUUACUUUUGGGUAUUGGAAUGACGAGAAGAAAUAGAAACCUAAAAAAGAAAACACGUUCCAUGUUCACAAUACAAUAGAGAAACCAAUAGCAGGUUCAUUGAAUGCGAUAGAUACAGAACCCAUAGUCAACAGAAGGUCCCCAGCAGUAAAAAUUGCACUUAUAGAAUAAUUCGCACGAGAUUACAAAGAUUUCUUAUACUCGCACUUAAUGCGAUUAUGGCAAUAAUAUCGUAUACGCCGCGUCCAUAAGAAAAUAAAGUAUACAGCACAAGAGUGAAAGAUACCUGAGAGAAAGACUUGUCUUGAGGCUGCUCUACAAUCCUAUAGGUUUCCUUAAUCCAACAAAAUCCAAACAGGAAAAGCAUAGCUCUAGAGAGAAAACUCCCGCACCUUACAAUCACGUCCCUUCUCCACCCUCCCAUAUGCGCGAAAUCCUCCUGCUCCUCCUCCUCGUCCCUGUUCGGAGCGGAGAACAGCGUGCAAAUCCUACAAAUCGUGUAAUAAAAUAACAAUAUUAUCAUUGCAAGCACAACUCGAAUCGGCAACAGCGUCACCAACGAGAUGCCUAGCAGGAACUUCUCCACCAAAGGCAGCUCGCCGCGUCCCAUGGUCCCGUAUACGUCGUUGCGUACGAACGCAGCGAAUUUCUUCUCCAGCUCUUCAAUACUCUCCGACGAAGACAUCCGGUUAGCGUCGGAUUUGAGGAGAGGACGAUCAUCCUUGGUGGAGGCAUCGUCGUGGGCGGGUUCCAGUUGAGAUUCGAGUGGGUGGAGCUUGGAAGGAUCCGGAUUCAUAUCUUCAAGCUCCGACUCCAUUGUUUUAUAGAAGAAAAGAAAUAAUGGUAAUAAUCAACGGAUUGAUUUUAGGGGAAUAGAGAAGAUUAAAUUGGAUUAGCCAUGGCUGCUUCCCGUAAGUUGUAGAUCUGAGUCUGAGAAAAGGGUAAGUGCCACGGUCUCUAUCUCUAUCUGUCUCACCUCUCGUGAAGGUUGCGGGUACGGCUUUGCAUAAAAAAAUCCACGUCCACAAUUAUGAGCUGCGAUCACAUGUGCUUACGUACAGAGUACCAUGGAUAGUAUUCAGUUCCGUCACUCACAGCCGUUGAGGAAAAACGCGGCCCAGCAGAAAUGUCCAAAC
rnacentral:misc_RNA from 1 species